CUUGCUCCAAGUGAUUCGUAUAAAUAGGUCUGGGGAGUAGUUUGGAGAAUAGUAAGUUAGAGAAUAUUUAUUCAAGAAAUAUUCAUUGAGCAACUUCUAUCAUGCUGCAUGCUGACAAAACGCGGGGAUUAGAUCCUUCUGGCCUGCCGAAGCCCGCUGAGAACACAAAGGCACGCACGGCUGUGUCCCAUCUGGUGAGCCCCAUUUGCAUGCACAGCAGCGACUUUCCAUGUGAAUCAGUCAUUUCCUCCGGAAGAGAGAAAAUGAGGCCCUGGAGAUGGAUUGAACUUUUAACUCUUGGAUCAGAAAGGCAUGCCCAGGACUGGUGUUCAUGUGAGCAGAGGAGGACAGUAUGAACUGAAAGACACCAAGUAAGUACGUUCCCUUCUUAUUCCCUCCCAUCAGCCAGCACUUUGGCAAAUGAGCUUUCCUACUGCCAAUAUAACUGCCUAAAAUCCUAUACUUAAAAAUUAAUUCCUUUGAGUCACUCCCUAAUCAUUUCAUUCAUUCUACAUGGUAACUGAGCAUCCAUAAUUACGAGAUAGGAUGGUAAUCUCUGGCAACUGGGAGAUGAGAGAGACUCGGUCUCUGUCCUUAGGGAGUUCAAGUCCGUGUGGAAUGCAGUCCUAUUCUUCUAUAAUACAGUAUGAUAUGUACUUAGAGAAGAGGCUUUGGAGCCCAGAAGAGGUUAAAUCAAGAAACAAAAAUCUAUCAGCCUGCUGUUAAAGUCUUCAAAAUGCUGGUCAUGUUGUAAGGAAGUCAGCGGGAUUGUCACUGCACACAAAACAAUGCAAUUUGCUUGAUGCUGUUGUCACUGAAGUUAGAGGGUCCAAGGGUAAGUGGGCCGGAAUCCCAACUGUUGGCUCUUUUUUGCUCCCUUUCUCCACAACUGCCUGGCUAGCACCACCAGGCCAAAGUCCUCUGACUAGGCAAGUGGCCAGGGGCUGCUGGGGUGGCCAGUGGUGUUUUUAUGAAGGCACUCAGCUGCAUGGACUUGAAGAAUGGGGUAGGAGCAAGUGCAGCUGCAGCAGGAAGAGGUCUGUGAGGAGACUGAUGGGACAAGGGACAAGGGGUUGAUGAACCCAGUGCCAAAUUAUAGCAGGUCACCAGGGUGCUGGCGUGACCAGAAAGGUGGAAUCACCAAGUCUUCACAGACCCCACUGAACAGUACAAAGCAUGCCAUCUGGUGACAGCCUGUCCCGAAUUAUUCUGGAUCCUUGUCUAUUUGCCGUUUUCUAGGUUUCUGGCCUCCAAAAGGUAUGCGAAAACUAAACUCUAAUUGAAUCCACUGACUCCGGUACAUCCAUCAUGCUGCUGUAAUACAAUACUAGCAUAGCCGUCCCACACCAUACUGGU
rnacentral:lncRNA from 1 species